rnacentral:rRNA from 1 species
UACAGAGGGUGCAAGCGUUAAUCGGAGUUACUGGGCGUAAAGGGCGCGUAGGCGGUCGUUUAAGUUAGAUGUGAAAUCCCUGGGCUUAACCUAGGAACUGCAUCUAAUACUGGAUGGCUAGAGUACUGUAGAGGGUAGUGGAAUUUCCGGUGUAGCGGUGAAAUGCGUAGAGAUCGGAAGGAACACCAGUGGCGAAGGCGACUACCUGGACAGAUACUGACGCUGAGGCGCGAGAGCGUGGGGAGCAAACAGG